GAGUUUGAUCAUGGCUCAGGAUGAACGCCGGCGGUGUGCCUAAUACAUGCAAGUCGUACGCACUGGCCCAACUGAUUGAUGGUGCUUGCACCUGAUUGACGAUGGAUCACCAGUGAGUGGCGGACGGGUGAGUAACACGUAGGUAACCUGCCCGGAGCGGGGAUAACAUUUGGAAACAGAUGCUAAUACCGCAUAACAACAAAGGCCACAUGGCUUCUGUUUGAAAGAUGGCUUUGGCCAUCACUCUGGGAUGGACCUGCGGUGCAUUAGCUAGUUGGUAAGGUAACGGCUUACCAAGGCGAUGAUGCAUAGCCGAGUUGAGAGACUGAUCGGCCACAAUGGAACUGAGACACGGUCCAUACUCCUACGGGAGGCAGCAGUAGGGAAUCUUCCACAAUGGGCGCAAGCCUGAUGGAGCAACACCGCGUGAGUGAAGAAGGGUUUCGGCUCGUAAAGCUCUGUUGUUGGAGAAGAACGUG
rnacentral:rRNA from 1 species